rnacentral:rRNA from 1 species
UACGUAGGGGGCUAGCGUUGUCCGGAUUUAUUGGGCGUAAAGAGCGUGUAGGCGGCCAGGUAGGUCUGCUGUGAAAACUCGAGGCUCAACCUCGAGAUGUCGAUGGAAACCGUCUGGCUAGAGUCCGGAAGAGGAGUGUGGAAUUCCUGGUGUAGCGGUGAAAUGCGCAGAUAUCAGGAAGAACACCUAUGGCGAAGGCAGCACUCUGGGACGGUACUGACGCUGAGACGCGAAAGCGUGGGGAGCGAACAGG